rnacentral:rRNA from 1 species
GUGCCAGCCGCCGCGGUAAUACCGGCAGCCCGAGUGAUGGCCGAUCUUAUUGGGCCUAAAGCGUCCGUAGCUGGCCUCGCAAGUCCGUCGGGAAAUCCAGUAGCCCAACUACUGGGCGUCCGGCGGAAACUACAAGGCUUGGGACCGGAAGGCUCGAGGGGUACGUUCGGGGUAGGAGUGAAAUCCUGUAAUCCCGUCCGGACCACCGAUGGCGAAAGCACUUCUAGAAAACGGAUCCGACAGUGAGGGACGAAAGCUAAGAUCGCGAACCGGAUUAGAUACCGAGUAGUCC